rnacentral:rRNA from 1 species
GAUGAACGCUGGCGGCGUGCCUAAUACAUGCAAGUCGAGCGAAUGGAUUAAGAGCUUGCUCUUAUGAAGUUAGCGGCGGACGGGUGAGUAACACGUGGGUAACCUGCCCAUAAGACUGGGAUAACUCCGGGAAACCGGGGCUAAUACCGGAUAACAUUUUGAACCGCAUGGUUCGAAAUUGAAAGGCGGCUUCGGCUGUCACUUAUGGAUGGACCCGCGUCGCAUUAGCUAGUUGGUGAGGUAACGGCUCACCAAGGCAACGACGCGUAGCCGACCUGAGAGGGCGAUCGGCCACACUGGGACUGAGACACGGCCCAGACUCCUACGGGAGGCAGCAGUAGGGAAUCUUCCGCAAUGGACGAAAGUCUGACGGAGCAACGCCGCGUGAGUGAUGAAGGCUUUCGGGUCGUAAAACUCUGUUGUUAGGGAAAAACAAGUGCUAGUUGAAUAAGCUGGCACCUUGACGGUACCUAACCAGAAAGCCACGGCUAACUACGUGCCAGCAGCCGCCGUAA